AUUGAACGCUGGCGGCAGGCCUAACACAUGCAAGUCGAACGAGUGGCGGACGGGUGAGUAAUGUCUGGGAAACUGCCUGAUGGAGGGGGAUAACUACUGGAAACGGUAGCUAAUACCGCAUACCAUCGGAUGUGCCCAGAUGGGAUUAGCUAGUAGGGGGGGUAAAGGCUCACCUAGGCGACGAUCCCUAGCUGGUCUGAGAGGAUGACCGGCCACACUGGAACUGAGAAACGGGCCAGACUCCUACGGGGGGCAGCAGGGGGGAAUAUUGCACAAGGGGGGCAAGCCUGAUGCAGCCAUGCCGGGUGUAUGAAGAAGGCCUUCGGGUUGUAAAGUACUUUCAGCGGGGAGGCGUAACCCGCAGAAGAAGCACCGGCAAACUCCGUGCCAGCAGCGGCGGUAAUA
rnacentral:rRNA from 1 species